UACGUAGGGGGCUAGCGUUGUCCGGAAUCAUUGGGCGUAAAGCGCGCGUAGGCGGUCAGGUAAGUCCGGUGUGAAAGUCAAAGGCUCAACCUUUGAAUGCCGCUGGAUACUGCUUGACUUGAGUCCGGAAGGGGCGAGUGGAAUUCCUGGUGUAGCGGUGAAAUGCGUAGAUAUCGAGAGGAACACCUGCGGCGAAGGCGGGUUGCUGGGCUGACACUGACGCUGAGGCGCGAAAGCUAGGGGAGCGAACGGG
rnacentral:rRNA from 1 species